UACGAAGGGGGCUAGCGUUGUUCGGAAUUACUGGGCGUAAAGCGCACGUAGGCGGCUUUGUAAGUUAGAGGUGAAAGCCCGGAGCUCAGCUCCGGAAUUGCCUUUAAGACUGCAUCGCUUGAAUCCGGGAGAGGUGAGUGGAAUUCCGAGUGUAGAGGUGAAAUUCGUAGAUAUUCGGAAGAACACCAGUGGCGAAGGCGGCUCACUGGACCGGUAUUGACGCUGAGGUGCGAAAGCGUGGGGAGCAAACAGG
rnacentral:rRNA from 1 species